rnacentral:rRNA from 1 species
ACGCUGGCGGCAUGCCUCAUACAUGCAAGUCGAACGAAAUCUUCGGAUUUAGUGGCGCACGGGUGAGUAACAUGUGGGAAUCUACCUAAAGGUUCGGAAUAACUGCGGGAAACUGUAGCUAAUACCGGAUGUGUCUGCAAAGAGAAAGAUUUAUCGCCUUUAGAUGAGCCCGCACUAGAUUAGCUAGUUGGUGAGGUAAAUGCUCCACCAAGGCUACGAUCUAUAGCUGAUUUGAGAGGAUGAUCAGCCACACUGGGACUGAGACACGGCCCAGACUCCUACGGGAGGCAGCAGUAGGGAAUAUUGGACAAUGGGGGAAACCCUGAUCCAGCAAUGCCGCGUGAGUGAAGAAGGCCCUCGGGUUGUAAAACUCUUUCAUCAAUGAUGAUAAUGACAUUAGUUGAAGAAGAAGCUCCGGCUAACUUCGUGCCAGCAGCCGCGGUAAUACGAAGGGGGCUAGCGUUGUUCGGAAUCACUGGGCGUAAAGCGUAUGUAGGCGGAUCAAAAAGUUAGAUGUGAAAUCCCUGGGCUCAACCCAGGAACUGCAUUUAAAACUAGUGAUCUAGAAAUUGGUAAAGGUUAGUAGAAUUUCCAGUGUAGAGGUGAAAUUCGUAGAUAUUGGAAAGAAUACCAGAAGCGAAGGCGACUAACUAGGCCAUUUUUGACGCUGAGAUACGAAAGCGUGGGUAGCAAACAGGAUUAGAUACCCUGGUAGUCCACGCAGUAAACGAUGAGUGCUAGUCGCUGGGACAAUAGUUUCAGUGUCGAAGCUAACGCAUUAAGCACUCCGCCU